CCGUGACAGAAAGUGAUUUACUGUAACAUUCAAAUUCAGUGUUCAGAGAUGCACUGCUUCACACUGUUGCCUCACAGAAGGGCUCUAGUUCAAGCCAGCCGGUUUUUCUGUAUGGAGUUUCAUAUGUACUCGAUGUGCCUGCGUUGGUUGCGGGUGUAUUGUGGCAGAGAGAGAACUCCAAGGAUCAGACAAUCCCACUUGACAAUGAAGGGUUGGAGGAAUUCCUUUUUAAAUGGGAAAGAGUAGCCAAAAGUAGACACGACAUGCAGCACUGGCAUAUAAAGGCAAUGGUACUGAAAGGAGGUUAGUGGGGGAAAAAUGCUCAGUGCAUCAUGGGAAGUCUCCCACAGCCUGAGCCUCAGCCUCAAACUGCUGGGAUAUACACCUACAGCAGGGAGGAUAUAGUACCAUCACAGUAUGAGGCUACGUCCACACUAGCCCGAAAACGGCGUUUUCGUCGGAAAACGCUCCGCGUCCACACUGUCGUUUUCAGUCGUUUUCACAGAGUUGUGCGUCCACAUUGAAACAGCCGAAAACGCUUACGUUUCAGUCCUGCGCAUGUGUGAAACGCAAGAAGAUUCGACCUGCCUCAUUUCUGUCAGCCGUGUAUUUACUUUCUGGCUCUCUGAAACAUCGCGGCAAAAUGUCGAGGAAAAGCACCGAGUUUUUGAAAUGGACUAACAAUGAGGUGGAGUUGUUGCUGCGAGUAACACAAAAGUACAAAGUUGCAAAAGCGAGUUAGAAUUAAAGAAUUUGAAGAAAAGCUAUCUGGAGCAUGUACAGAGUGAUAUUAAUCUUUAAUAGGGCUCAAACAAAACAAUUGCUGUGUAAUGCCCUCUGCUAUCUUGGUUUAAUUGGUCACAUGACUGCAUCACAUGACUAACAUGCGUCAUUGUUUUAGAAAGUCUACGUUUUUGCUGUCCACACUGGGCCUGGAGAGUCCCUGCCUUGGAGCCAGCCACACCUGUGAUAAUCACUCACCUGUUGCUGAUCUACCUAAUCAAGGAGCUCUACUUAAGAGAGCAGUGGAGCAGCAGUCGGUGCGGGAUUGUUAAACUAGAAAUACAAAACGUGUGGAGGGAGCAGCACAAUGUUGAACACAGGCACCGAGGAGGACGAAGCACUACCACGCAUCACGGAGAGGAAUCACGGCACGGGGAAUUGGGAGAGCACACACUGUGGAUUGUUGGCGCUGUUUUCUCUGUAAAUAAACACACUUUCUCCAUUCUAAAAGUCUGGCAUUUGGGUUCUCCUUCAGCCAACCUUGACAUGUGGUUUAAUUUAGUUGUGUGGAUGCCCUCAAAGGCAUCCACACUAUUGAGUUCCUGUUUCUCUUUAAACUUUAUUCUUCAAGUUGCUCCCCCGUUUUUCGGCACUUAA
rnacentral:lncRNA from 1 species